UACGUAGGGUGCGAGCGUUGUCCGGAAUCACUGGGCGUAGGGCGCGUAGGCGGCUUGAUAAGCGUGCGGUGAAAGCCCGGGGCUCAACCCCGGGUCGGCCGUGCGAACUGUCGAGCUGGAGCACUGUAGAGGCAGGUGGAAUUCCGGGUGUAGCGGUGGAAUGCGUAGAGAUCCGGAAGAACACCGGUGGCGAAGGCGGCCUGCUGGGCAGUGGCUGACGCUGAGGCGCGACAGCGUGGGGAGCAAACAGG
rnacentral:rRNA from 1 species